GGAUGCGAUCAUACCAGCACUAAAGCACCGGAUCCCAUCAGAACUCCGAAGUUAAGUGUGCGUGGGCGAGAGUAGUACUAGGAUGGGUGACCUCGUGGGAAGUCCUCGUGUUACAUUCC
rfam:Triticum aestivum genome assembly, contig: Triticum_aestivum_CS42_TGACv1_scaffold_060695_1BS